AGAGUUUGAUCCUGGCUCAGAACGAACGCUGGCGGCGUGGAUAAGACAUGCAAGUCGAACGCUAGCUUCAGGGUAGCAAUAUUCUGAAGUUGGAGUGGCGUAAGGGUGCGUAACACGUGGGCAAUUUGCCGUGAAGUUGGGGAUAACUCGCUGAAAGGCGAGCUAAUACCGAAUGUGACUGUUUGGGGGCAUCCCUGGAUAGUUAAAGUUGGGGACCGUAAGGCCUGACGCUUCACGAUAAACCUGCGGCCUAUCAGCUAGUUGGUGAGGUAACGGCCCACCAAGGCUAAGACGGGUAGCUGGUCUGAGAGGACGACCAGCCACACUGGAACUGAGACACGGUCCAGACACCUACGGGUGGCAGCAGUCGAGAAUUUUUCUCAAUGGGCGAAAGCUUGAAGGAGCGACGCCGCGUGGGGGAUGAAGGGCUUCGGCUCGUAAACCCCUGUCAUUUGCGAACAAACCUUCUCACCUAAUACGUGGGGAGCUGAUAGUAGCGAAAGAGGAAGGGACGGCUAACUCUGUGCCAGCAGCCGCGGUAAUAC
rnacentral:rRNA from 1 species